rnacentral:rRNA from 1 species
UACGUAGGGGGCUAGCGUUGUCCGGAAUCAUUGGGCGUAAAGCGCGCGUAGGCGGACCGGUAAGUCCGCUGUAAAAGUCAAAGGCUCAACCUUUGAAUGUCAGUGGAUACUGCCGGGCUAGAGUCCGGAAGAGGCGAGUGGAACUCCUGGUGUAGCGGUGGAAUGCGCAGAUAUCAGGAAGAACACCGUCGGCGAAGGCAGCUCGCUGGGACGGUACUGACGCUGAGGCGCGAAAGCGUGGGGAGCGAACAGG